CGGAUGGUAUUCGAAAUGAAACUAUACUGAUGAAUAAAAUAUUUUUCACUAUAAAGAUUGGAGCGUAGCUUAUAUCUUGAAGGAAUGAGACUCAUUG
rfam:Eubacterium sp. CAG:192 genomic scaffold, scf310